rnacentral:rRNA from 1 species
CCUACGGGAGGCAGCAGUGGGGGAUAUUGCACAAUGGGGGAAACCCUGAUGCAGCGACGCCGCGUGGGUGAAGAAGCGCCUCGGCGCGUAAAGCCCUGUCAGCAGGGAAGAAAAUGACGGUAUCUGAAGAAGAAGCCCCGGCUAACUCGGUGCCAGCAGCCGCGGUAAUACGUAGGGGGCAAGCGUUAUCCGGAUUUACUGGGUGUAAAGGGGGCGCAGACGGCGAUGCAAGCCAGGAGUGAAAGCCCGGGGCCCAACCCCGGGACUGCUCUUGGAACUGCGUGGCUAGAGUGCAGGAGGGGCAAGCGGAAUUCCUGGUGUAGCGGUGAAAUGCGUAGAUAUCAGGAGGAACACCAGUGGCGAAGGCGGCCUGCUGGACUGCAACUGACGUUGAGGCGCGAAAGCGUGGGGAGCAAACAGGAUUAGAUACCCCUGUAGUC